AGUUUACUUUCAGUUUCAUCUUUGCAGUGAUCAGCUGAACAGGAUUGAGGGGGCAGAGGUAGGGGACAACAAGUUACCCCAGCCUUUCCCCACCCCCCUCUUCCCCCCACUGCCAUUAAUCAUGCCAGUGCACACUAAACUAAGAAGACACUUAAGGUCCGAAAAGGGGGCGGGGCUAGACGGCACUGUACUACACAGUGCCAUGUUGCCAGCAGCAUGGGAGAAUGGAGGGAAUGUGAUCAGCAGCAUGGCCAAAACAGGGAAUGUACCCAUGCUUCAACAGUUUUACCCAGGAUACACUUCUGCAAAACCACUCCAGUAUUGGACCAGUUAACCCCACUAUACCAUGGACGUCCUACUUGUGAUGUGGACCUGAACCACCGCCAUCACUCUUUCAGGUCUUGUGGAGUAUCCUUCCCGAUUUGCAGGAACCAGCCUGGAUUUGAAGGGACCAGACAGUUCCCCUGCUGUACCAUGGGCGACCUACUUGUGAUGUGGACCUGAACCUCCGUCAUGUUGCAGACACUCCCCCCUCAGGUCGUGCGGAGCAUCCCUCCCGAUUUGCAGGAAACAGCAUGGAUGAAAAGGGACAUGACAGUUCCCCUGCUGUACCAUGGGCGACCUAACACAAUACCACUGCAUCUCUGAAAUACUAUAUUUUACAUUGUAUUUGCUAUUAAUUUAAAGAAAAACACACAAAACUUCUCAUUUUAAAAAUUUAUUGAAGAAAUAUAAUUGUAU